rnacentral:rRNA from 1 species
CCUACGGGAGGCAGCAGUGGGGAAUAUUGCACAAUGGGGGAAACCCUGAUGCAGCGACGCCGCGUGAGUGAAGAAGUAUUUCGGUAUGGAAAGCUCUAGCAGCAGGGAAAAAAAUGACGGUACCGGAUUAAGAAGCCCCGGCUAACUACGUGCCAGCAGCCGCGGUAAUACGUAGGGGGCAAGCGUUAUCCGGAUUUACUGGGGGUAAAGGGAGCGUAGACGGCAGCACAAGUCUGGAUUGAAAUGCGGGGGCUUAACCCCGGAACUGCUUUGGAAACUGUGCAGCUAGAGUGCAGGAGAGGUAAGUGGAAUUCCUAGUGUAGCGGUGAAAUGCGUAGAUAUUAGGAGGAACACCAGUGUCGAAGGCGGCUUACUGGACUGUAACUGACGUUGAGGCUCGAAAGCGUGGGGAGCAAACAGGAUUAGAUACCCGAGUAGUC